GCCGGAAUAGUUUAAUUGGUUAAAAUAAAUUCCUUGUAAGAAUUUGUUAUUGGUUCGAGUCCAAUUUUUGGCU